rnacentral:rRNA from 1 species
GAUGAACGCUGGCGGCGUGCUUAACACAUGCAAGUCGAACGGUGAAGGCGGAGCUUGCUCUGCUGGAUCAGUGGCGAACGGGUGAGUAACACGUGAGCAAUCUGCCCCUGACUCUGGGAUAAGCGCUGGAAACGGCGUCUAAUACUGGAUACGAGCUGCGAAGGCAUCUUCAGCGGCUGGAAAGAAUUUCGGUCAGGGAUGAGCUCGCGGCCUAUCAGCUUGUUGGUGAGGUAAUGGCUCACCAAGGCGUCGACGGGUAGCCGGCCUGAGAGGGUGACCGGCCACACUGGGACUGAGACACGGCCCAGACUCCUACGGGAGGCAGCAGUGGGGAAUAUUGCACAAUGGGCGAAAGCCUGAUGCAGCAACGCCGCGUGAGGGACGACGGCCUUCGGGUUGUAAACCUCUUUUAGCAGGGAAGAAGCGAAAGUGACGGUACCUGCAGAAAAAGCGCCGGCUAACUACGUG